ACGCUGGCGGCGCGCCUAACACAUGCAAGUCGAACGGAGUUUUCUGAAUUGAUUCUUCGGGAUGAUUUUUGGAAAACUUAGUGGCGAAACGGGUGAGUAACGCGUGAGUAACCUGCCCUGGAGUGGGGGACAACAGUUGGAAACGACUGCUAAUACCGCAUAAGCCCACAGUACCGCAUGGUACCAGAGGGAAAAGGAGCAAUUCGCUUAUAGAUGGGCUUACGGUGUAUUAGCUAGUUGGUGAGGUAACUGCUCACCAAGGCGAUGAUACAUAGCCGGCCUGAGAGGGUUGAACGGCCACAUUGGGACUGAGACACGGCCCAGACUCCUACGGGAGGCAGCAGUAAGGAAUUUUCGGCAAUGGGGGAAACCCUGACCGAGCAACGCCGCGUGAGUGAUGAAGGCCUUUGGGUUGUAAAGCUCUGUUGUAAAGGAAGAACGUGCAGAUGAGGAAAUGCUUCUGUAUUGACGGUACUUUACCAGAAAGUCACGGCUUACUACGUG
rnacentral:rRNA from 1 species